rnacentral:rRNA from 1 species
UACUCUUGACAUCCAUGGAAUCCUGUAGAGAUACGGGAGUGCCUUCGGGAACCAUGAGACAGGUGCUGCAUGGCU